CGGUUCAUGAACUUGAUUAUAGGAUUUGGUUCAUAAUUUGGGUUUUAUUUAUGAUUGGAUUUGGAUUUAGGGUUAUUUGUAGACUGGAUUAAGUUUGGGUUUUUAUUUGUGGACCUGAUUUGGGUCCAGGUUUGGAUUUUAUUUGUGGACUUGAUCAAAUUUGGGUUUUGGAUUUGGUUUUAUUUGUGGACUUCAUUUGGGUUCAGGUUUGGAUUUUAUUUGUUGACUUGAUCGGAUUUGGAUUUUUUGGGUUUAGGUUUUGAUUUUGGAUUUUUAUUUGUGAACUUGGGUUGUAUUUGGGUUUUAUGGGUUUUGAUUUUUUAUUUGUGGAUUAGAUUUGGUUUUGGAUUUUUAUUUGUGGACUGAUUUUUGUUUUGGGUUUGGAUUUAGGUUGGAUUUGGGUUUGGAUUUGGGUUUUGGUUUUUGAAUUUUGGUUUGGGGUUUGUUAGGUUUCGGGUUUUGGGUUUCAGUGUUUGGAUUUAGGUUUGAAUUUGGGUUUUGGUUUUGGAUUUUGGUUUUCAUAUUUUGAUUUUUUAUUUCUAGACUUUGUUUGGAUUUGGGUUCAAAAGGAUUG
rnacentral:lncRNA from 1 species